GCAGUCCCUCCCCGCCCCCGCUCUCCCCUCCGCAGCCUGCAGCCCGAGACUUCUGUAAAGGACUGGGGCCCCGCAACUGGCCUCUCCUGCCCUCUUAAGCGCAGCGCCAUUUUAGCAACGCAGAAGCCCGGCGCCGGGAAGCCUCAGCUCGCCUGAAGAUUUCCCAAGCAGACAGCCCGUGCUGCUCCGAUUUCUCGAACAAAAAAGCAAAACGUGUGGCUGUCUUGGGAGCAAGUCGCAGGACUGCAAGCAGUUGGGGGAGAAAGUCCGCCAUUUUGCCACUUCUCAACCGUCCCUGCAAGGCUGGGGCUCAGUUGCGUAAUGGAAAGUAAAGCCCUGAACUAUCACACUUUAAUCUUCCUUCAAAAGGUGGUAAACUAUACCUACUGUCCCUCAAGAGAACACAAGAAGUGCUUUAAGAGGUAAUAGCCUGCAGCUGGUGUUUUGAGAAGCCCUACUGCUGAAAACUUAACAAUUUUGUGUAAUAAAAAUGGAGAAGCUCUAAA
rnacentral:lncRNA from 1 species